UGUUACACUUGUUGCCAAUCACACCUGCUGUCUGUGUCUGCUGCUUUCCUUCUUUAAGAUGACUCUACUUUUCUAGUCUUUGUCUUCUUUGGAAGUAUGGGAGUUUUUUCAGAGAAGCCCUUGACAAGAAGCAAAAUACUGCUUAACAGGAGUCUUUUCCAGAGAAGGGAGACUUCCUGAAAAAGGCUCUUCCUUUUCCCAGGAGGAAGACCUAUGCCCUCUGUUUGGAAGAAAGAAAGGAAAGGGAAGGAAGGAAGGAACGAAGGAAGGAAAACACCUAGAAGUAUUUCUACAACAUUAUUUAAUUAUUUUCAGAGGGAAUAUUUCAGAAGAACCAAGCUGAAUUCUUGAGCUAAGUGUAGUAGGCAAAUUACUCUGAAACUGAUACCUACAGAAUAUGGUUUCUCCUCUUCAUUUUGUACGAAAGUCACGUUCAAGUAGAUUGUGAGUCUUCAACAACUUUGUGCUUGCAGCAUAUUUCACUCUAGCCCUCUCCAUGGUCCUGUCUAAUCUUUUUAUGGUAUUACUGAUCUCUGAAAGUCAAACUGUACUUUUGAACAGCCGAAAAGACAGAUCUAACUUUAUGUACUGCUUCAGUUUCAAGAUCAAGACAAACUGAGAAGAGGAGGGUGUUUUGUGCCAUGUCAAGAGGCAAUGGACACAAACUGGCACACAAGAGAAUCAUAGAUUCAUAAAAUAUCUGAGUUGGAAGGGAUCUACAAGGAUCAUGGAGUCCAACUCCUAGGUUCCAAAAGGACCACACAAAACAAAACAAAAGAAACAAACAAAAAACUCAGAUCAUGUGUCUGAGAGUGUUGUCCAAAUGUUUCUUGAACUCUGGCAAGCUCAGUACCACAACCACUUCCUUGGGGAACCUGUUCAAGUGCCUGACCACCCUCUUGCUGGAAAACCUUUUCAUGAUACCCAGACUGAAUAUCUGAGAGUUUCCAUCUGAAUAUCAGAAAGUACAUCUGUUUUCUGCAGGUGAUGGAGCACUGAUAUGGGUUGUCCAGAGAGGCUGUAGAGUCUCUCUCUUUGGAGAUGUUCAAAGAUGCUUGGACAUAGUCCUGAGCAGCCUGUUCCAGGUAUCCCUUCUUGAGCGUGUGGUUGGACCAGAUGACCUCCAGAGGCCACUUCCCACCUCAGCCAUUCUCUUACUCUCAAAAAAUAAAAUUCUGAUUUUAACAGAGUGAUUAAAAAGAGAGAGAGAGAGAGAGAGAGAGAGAGAGAGAAACAAUGUGAACUACUGAGAUAUGGAGAGAGAAAAAUGUUGUGAACUACCGAGAUAUGGCAGAACUGUGAUUAGAAAUUGAGUGGAAAUGUUUACAGAUCAAAAGUUUUGUGUUCCUUAGCUUCACACAAUAGGGACUCAUUGUCAUGGCUUCUGUGCUAUAGGAUAAAUGAUAAGCAAGUGUCAGUGCUAAGCAGGAUUUGUGUGUCUCCAGGCUAGGUCCCUGUGAAUCUACAGUAUAUGUCUGGAAAGAUAUGCUGUGUUCAGUAAGCUCCCACUAAUGGCAGUCAGGAUCUUCAAAGACAGGGUGAGAUCAAAGGGUAGAAAAGUCUAUCUAUCCCUGCCAGACAUUUGUCUCUCAUCCUCUUUAAUGAGGACAGCUGACCAAGAGAAACAAAAUCCUUCACAAGUGGUCUCUGAUCUGACAGCCUUCUCCUUUGGUCCGAUGGAGGGGAAGGUGGAUAAUACCUCUUCUCCAGAAACUUUAGCAUAAUUAUCUCCAGUAACUUGGUACUUGAGUAUCCUUCCUUCACAUAAAGGCUGGUGUGAUGCACAACAAACUGUAUCUAGCCCAGAAGUUUCAUUUAUUAACUUUUUAUUAUUUUUGUUUUAUUUAUUUAUUUAUUUAUUUAAUUAUUUAUUUUUCCCUAGCAAUCUUUUGUUGCUUAUUGUGUUAACUGUGGCUUUUUGGGAAAAGAUUAUGAGAGAUGUUUUGAUGAUUAAAUUCUGUAAUUAAAUCAUGUUGAGCUGUUAGUGCCUGCAGAAGUACUUGGCAUAGAGGAUGCUGGAGAAAGAGGGAAUGUGAGCUUCAGGGUGGAAGCCUAUCAAUGAGACAUGCCUAUGAAUGUGUUAAUAAGUAGGCAUAGGGUUUGAACGAGCCCUUGUCUUUGCUCACCUUUGAUAAUAUGUUCAAGAUGAUUCUUUAUUUCAACUAGAGUGAAAGACUUCAAAUUUUUCCUCUUUUAUCUUUCAAAGAAGCCAAAUGGGAAUAACUUGGUCAGAGAGAGAAGGAGGCGUUUUACUUAUUACUGUGUUUCUUGUCGGCUUUCAAAUACCUGCUGAAGCAGAAGCAAAUCUGGAUCUUUAUCUUUUCAGUUCCCUUUAAACAUCUGUAACAUAUAAAGUUAGCUUUGGGGACUAAAACAAAACGCAGAUAUACUAUUUUUCAGAUGUGUGCUCCCAUUAUCUGAAUUGUAUUUAUUGUCCAGAGAUUAUAAAUAUGGUGAAAUUUGUGGCUUCAAGCAAAAUAAUGAAAUACUGAAAUAUUUAAUGACAGAUAUUUUAAGAUAGAAUUUUUAAAUGAGAAGUAAAGAAAAAUAAACCUGUCUGAAACAUAGAAACUGAAAUUCAAAGAUAAUUCAAAAUGAAAGAUCCCAGAAAGAAGCCAUGAAUUCUGACACAAAAACUGGGAAAUUUUGAAGAAGUCAUGCUAGGAACAAAGAAAUAUAAAAGGAAGUUACAAAUGUAGUUAUAACACUCUUCAGUUUCAACCUCAAUCUAUGAACAUUCUGGCCACAAGGAAAAUGCUACCUUAAUGUCAUAAAUACAAUUUUCUUUAACAUAACAAAGGUUAAACACCAACAACUCUUCAAAACUUCAUGCUGAAAUCCUGAGUCUUCAUGCUGAACUGUUGAGUAUCUUUCCGGAUGUUCAUGAGGGAGGACAUCUGGAAUCAUUGGAUAUUAUGCACUUCCUGAUUCACAAUGUCACCUUGGAAUUUUUUCUCAACUUUAUUAAUUUCAGUCAAGCACAUGCAGAGUUUAUCCAUAACAUAUUGUUUUUGAGGUACAUAUUGUUACCUUAGUUCUUUGUCAGUGUGAAAACUCAUUUUUUUCUCCAGCAAUAAACAUGCUCAUUUCUAAUGAAAACACUCAAGUUCUGCAGCCCCCACCCUGAUUAAGACUCUUGCUGCAUUUUGGGGUACUAUCAUCAUGUUUAUUUUGUCUGUUCUGUUCAUUUCCCCCCACCUGUUUGUUUGAAUAGCUCAGGAAGAAGAGGUUUUCCAUCCUGUACCUCUCCAAGCUUCUAUCAUCCAUUCUGUUGAAAAAUUAUAAUUGAAGUCCUAAGGCUACUUCCUUUCAUUUAGAAUAAAUACUUCUUAUCAAGGUCCUUCUUUUUCUGUUGCUCACAGCGACAUUGUCAACAAGGGUACAAAUUGUACAGAACAUGGAAAAGAGGGAGGCUUUUCCUUUGUUCCACACGUGUUUAGAACUUAUUUCACAGGGAACUGCCGAAGCUGAGAAGAGGGAGACAAAUAUUUCUUUGAUGCUGUGGUGCCUGUAAAAAGCAAUUAACCUUACUGGCCAUGUUUGUAUUGCUAUCUCUGAGGGAUGAGAAUAGAUUUUUAGUUUGAGAAGAAAUCUGAGGGAGUCUGAAGCUCUGAAUGGAAAGCCCAUGGGUUUUUCUGAAGGUAAAAUACCAACAUAAAGGGUCAAGGGAAAGCAAAUGGAAGGUAAGAAUCAAGAAGGUGUAUGAGUCUAAAGCCAGGACAGUAUUAUUUCAGUUGUCUUUUCAGGUGAAUGAACAAACACAAAGACAUACAAUUUCAGUUGUCACUGAAAUAUCAAUAAUACCUGUGAGCAUUAACUUUUGCUCCAGAAUUCUCAGGGUAGCAGUGAACAUCCAGGGAGGACUCAUGGGCAUAGGUUUCCCUUUUUCUCAAGUACUGAUGCACCUUCACCCUUUUACCUGUGGAGAUAGCUUUGUUCUCUUUAUAUGUAGAAAAAUAUGCAUAUGUGCUAAAUGUCCCAGUAACUGAUACUAUACUUCCUGUUCCUGAUUCUUCAGCUAGACUGAUAAAAUUACAGGACAUUUUAUAGGUAUUGGACUCAUUCCUUCAUUUUCUGAAGUCAUCAUAGCCUGCUGCCUACAGCUUUUUCAAACAUUUUAAGCACUAAGAGUCAUAAGAUUGGCCAAUGAUCCUAUUAAUUAAUUUUGCUUUGUUUAAAAUUUGUAUCUUUUUUUUUCAUAUUUUUGAAAGUUUAUCAAAAUUACUGGUUAUUUUCAAUACAUAUUAAAGACACAGAAUAUGAUCUUGAUUUUUCUAUUAACUUCAAGUUUCUUGGUCUUAUGGCCUAAGAAAUGUUUCACUUACCUUUCUUUGUUCCUACUCUUGAUAUGUGUUUUUAUCAGUUACUGUAAAAAUGGAUUCUCAAGCUGUCUUUAGUGUAAUGAGAUCUCUCAGACUCAAAUUUCUAAAUGGGUAUUUAUUUCAGCACUGAAUCUUCUUGCAUUAGUAAGAAAGGGAUGUAUAUACUUGUCCUCCGGUUUGCAAUGUUCAGUAGUCAAUGAAGAGAAAGUAAGAACAACCCUUCCUAUAAGGAAUAAAAUGCAUUGCAAAACAUGCAUUAGUGGCCUGCCAGUUUAUUAGGCUGACCUUUUAUACUUUUUAAAGGGUGAGAACAGUAGCAAUAACAGAAUCUAUCUGGUGUGAAACACAUCCAUUUCAGUACAAAUGUCUGAAAGACAGAUGUUUUUUAAGUAAAAUGAUCAUGUACAUGAAAAUGUACUUUGAAUUCUUAACAACAUUGGAAAUAAAACCUACCAGAUUGAAUCUUGAUUACGUUUUGUGCAAUACAUAAAUGUAUCAUGUCAGCUUCUAUUGUUAACAGAUGUCUGCAUCUGGGUCUUUUUUUUUUUUUUUUUUUUUUUCUCCUUAAGCUGUUCUAUUAACUUCACAGAACUACAACAUACUCUAAAACUCUAAGCAGUACAUAGUACUGAUUCUUGAUUUCUGUGCUAUACGUAUUGGGUCUAACCUUUUCUGCUGCUUUCAAUCCUCCUCCUCAAGAGAAGCCUCCUCAAUGCUGUGGUUUGUUAAAACUGUGUUAUUUCCAAAUCUCCAGCUAUGUUGGGGGUCUGCAUAUGUACACUGUGAUUUCAAAGGGACAUGUAUGAGCUGUGAAGAAUGCUGCUCAUAACCAGCUACCAGUAAGGUUUUGAACUAUUGAGGGCUUCCUUUUCAGCUUGAUGAUGGGACCAGAUUUUCAGCCACUUGGUAGUCUCUCCAGUCCAUAACUCCCUAGUUGGCUAGAAGGACACUGGGGAAGAAGAUAAAUGAAUAAGCAAAGACGUACUCAACUCAUGCAUGCAAGUAGAUCAUCUCUGUUAAGCUAACUGUUGGUUAAGCUAACUGUUGUUUCUCCUGUGCAUCUUAAUCUGGAAGGGUAGGAAAGGAAAGGGGCUUAAUUUCUUUAGAUUUGUGCGUUUGAUUCUUGGGAGCCAAUGUUCUGUCACUAGAAAUUACUUGCCAAAAAAAAAUAAAAAAUGGGGAGUUUCUCUUUUCAGACUGGAGGUUCCAGUAAUAGAGGCACCACUCCAAGGGCAAGGAGUUGUCAGCAAAUAAGUCCUCCUUCAUGCUUUUAUGCCAGCAGUGCAGCAGUAUGGUGUUAAUUAAUAAACCUCCGUCCAGCUUAGUGGGAGGUUGUGCUCAUGCUUCAUAGGUUUAGGCUAUAAAAGAUGUUAUCAAAGCUAAUUUACAGAAAAACUUUGCUGACAGCAGCCACUCUCUUUCCCCCUGUGUCUUUCUUGCUGUAUUAACCAGCACAUUAGAUAAAAGUCUUUUCAAGGUUGGGUUGUUGGUGUUGCUAGGCUACCAGCCUGCUGCAGAGCUUUGCAUGCAUAUUCGCCUCAGUUUUUCCUCCCCCCAGAAACAUAAAGUUCUUAUAAAACAUAAAUUUCUGCAUUCAUUUCCACUAUAUUUUCUUCUGACUGUGAUGUGAAUUGUGCCAUGAAAAUUCUAGAACAUAAUCUGAGCUGUUUUCCUUCACCCUAGUCGUGACACAGGCUGCAGUAUCUUGUGUCUGAAAAACAUGCAUACGACUGCCUUGUGCAGACUGAUGGAGGACAGAAGUCACAAAAAAACAGUAGUUCUCCUGUGUUAACACUGGACAGGAAGAAACUCUGGAAAAAUAAAACAAAACAAUUUUUCUAUUUGCUAUUUGUCCUUGAGGUGUACAUGUUCAGUAGAAUACCUAAGUAGUGGUGACAAACAAGCACUAUUGUGUGGUAAUCCAUACCAUUGAAUUUUUAUCAUGAUCCCAGGUAUGAUUUAGGCUGUGUUGACUAGAACUCCUCCAGAAAAUGACUAGGCACAAUUUGGUGCUAGUUCAGGCAAGGUCUAUUCUCAUCAGGCAGAAGGGGAUUUUAACUCUAUGAAGUCAAACUGUGCUGCUCCACUUGGACAGAAGGGAGUCCUUAGGGAAGUACAGACAUAGUAAAAGAUUAUGUAUAUUGUAACAAUCAGCUAACUGGUAUCCUUCCAAAAUUUUUAUUGCUUUAUUUAUACACUGUGGAUUUUGAAUUAUGUAUUUCCCUCUAUAUACAUGGUUAAGAAAUUUUACAGUUCUUUAUGACUUCCCAGAAAAUUAAUAUGUGUACAAUAUAAAAGCAAUUAUUCAUAAUGGUCCCUAAAAUCCAGAGGUCUUCCCUCUGUAAUAGUCUUUGGAGAUCUAGUCAUGUUCAAAGUGGUCACCUCAACUUUCAGCAGAAAGCAACUGGAGGAAUACUGUGUCAAAACAUGGCAGUUCACACAAGGGAUGGUCAUAUUUCUGAAGUUUGAGGAGUAAUUUGGCCUGAUAAUAUUUUAAGGGUACAUCUUUCUGACUUGAGGAACAUUAAACUUCCUUAAUUAUGAGAGUUCUGCUUUUUUCCAAGCAUCUGCUGUCAAAUCUGCAAGCCACAGACUUCAGUGACUCCUCUGUCCUAUACUCAUUAGAUAUAUAUAGACUCACUGUAUAUUCAAAGCAGUGGCAAUGAGUCAGAGACAUGAAGGAAAUCUCUUUUCAGUUCUUGGACUGCUUGAAAAGGUACCUCCUCUUUGUUGCUGUACAAAUUUGUGUAAUAUUCAUCAUCUUAGAAGAAAAUUCCUGAGUGUCGUUAUUACAUAUGGGCACCUUAUGCUACAUAUGUUACAUAUUACUAUGUCAGUAUUUAGAAUUUGUAGUUUAUAUUUGUAUUAUAUGUAUUUUUCAAUCCUGCUAAUACAUGGCCUAUGGUUUAACUAAAGCUGUCACUUCAGUUAUAACUUACAGUGACAUUUUCACUUUCUUUCCUGCAGGGAAUGAAAUUGUGGUCCACAGAAAAAAAAUCUUUUCCAUCCAAGUACACAAUAAAAUGUUUUUUGUCUUUGUCAUGUCUGGCUAUUGCUGUAUAUAACUGUCUUUUCUGUUAAUGUUUUUAGGCAGUGUCAGCUUUUUUCCACAUGCCAGACUCUCCUAACAGGAUCAUGUCUCCAGAGCAAAGCUUCCAAGCAUGAAUGAUUUUAUGAGAUCAGUGUUUGUCUUUUUUACUGGAGUACAUGGGAAGAAUUUUCCACCUUGCAGAAAAGACAGAAAAUGCUAUUGAAGAUGUGGCGCUUAUUGUAAUGACCUUUCAUAAGAAUGGGAACUGAGGAGUCCAUCUGAAAGGCACACAUGAAGGGACACCCUGUUCCUGGAUUUUUCAGAAUGAAGGCAGUGAUGUGCAUUCUCAGUGUGUGUGUUUGUGGGGAGAAUUGCUGGGAAGACAUCUAUGAUCUUGGGGAGAAAGUCGUGUCAACUCUUGUCUUUGAAGUAUCAGCAAGGAGCCUCUCACAAAGAAAACAUAAUAGACUUUCAUUCUGCCUUGUAUCCAGCUUGCCACAGGCUCUACCAGACUGAUAGUAGAAAGCUUCUUCACUUCUUAGAGAAAUUCUGGUGUUUUUUUUUCUUUUUCCUGCUGAGAGCAGUUUCAUUAUCAGCCCAAAGGUACUUCAAAGGCAGAAUCACAGCACUAGGAGUCAACACUGGCUCUUGAACAUGCACUUUCCAUUUGACAUUAGCAUUUCUUGGUUCCGGAAAAAUUCUGUUUGAUUUCUUUUGUAUUUACUUUGUUUAUUGCUUUGUUUUGUUUUGUUCUUUUUUGUUUGUUUGUUUGUUUAUUAAUUUUUAUCUUUCAGUAACAGUAAAAAGCUUUUACUUUUUUUUUCUUUUUUCUUUUUUCUUUUCUUGUCUUCCUAAUUGAACCAGUGGAACAAUGCUAUAACCAGUACUCUGUAACUGCCAUUUCUCCAGAUCAGCUUUGUUGGAGUGUAGAUUAUUAUGGUGGAAAUAGUUACUGAGUGCUUUGGCAAGCACCUGUAGAUAGAUAUGUGAGAUACAACAUGAGAGAAAACAUGAGGAAGAACUGGGGCCUUGAGAGCAAGGUGGGCAGUAAUGCUAAUUCUAACUUGACAAUGACCCUUUCUAUGUUCUGAUGAAUUUCCCAGUUUAUUCCUUUUCUCUAAAGAGAAUGCAGAAGAGAAAACUUCACAGACCUGCCAACAUGAAACAGCAUACGCAGAGGAGAAUCUGGCUGCAUUGUCUGCAACACUUGCUCUUUUUGGAGGCUUGUGUCUAGCAGCAGAGUUUCUCAGAUGUUUGUUGAUGAUCAGUCUCUGCAAAGUCCAAACUCCAUUGCCAUGCAGUUCCCAGUGAAAGAGUUCGAUUUUUUAUUUUUAUUUUUUGGCCAGGGUCUAAAUGAGCCUUUUUGCAAUAUUUAUUUCAGUCCUCUCUACAACUCACUUUAAAUCUUCCCCAUUUUCUUUUCUUCCCACUUCAUGCUCAUUUUUCAUUAUUUUCAUCCCGGACUACUCUUGUUCAGUUCUUCUCUGACUGUCAUUUAGCUUCUUUUGUUCCCUGUCAGUUUAUUUUAUUUCCUAUUUCCAAAUCAGAAAUCAUUAACUUUCCCUGUUAUAGGAGGAUGACAGAGCCUGCACUAACCUUAACCAGUGAGAUUUUUCUUUGUCAGUAUGCAACAACAAGGUUAGUUUUUUCCCAAAGGCAAUUUGGUUUUCCAGAACAACAGUAGGCUGUUGAAUCAAUAUAUGCAGUUAGAUAUUUUCAGUUUUAAAGUGUGGCUCCCAACAGAGUUGUGUUAACAGGGUCAGUAAACUUCAAAUGCCUUGAAUUCACAAGGGGAAGGAAGGGUGCAGAGUCUGAACAUGAAGUAAAAGCAUGUUGUUUUUCCUGUGUUUUUGGUGAGAAGUUUUGUACUACUGUCUUGUAUUAUUAUUAAUUAGUAGUCUAAAAAGCUAUAAGAAAUGACAGGGAGAAUGAAUUAAAUUUAAAAAGUGCUGUGAGUUUUUGUUGUUGGAUUGACUGUGCUAUACAACUGCAUUGAACAAUGAACCAUGAAAGCCAUUGCAACACACUGAAAAGUUUCAA